rnacentral:rRNA from 1 species
CCUACGGGGGGCUGCAGUAGGGAAUAUUGGACAAUGGGCGCAAGCCUGAUCCAGCCAUGCCGCGUGAGUGAAGAAGGCCCUCGGGUUGUAAAGCUCUUUUGUCCGGAAAGAAAAGCAAUCGGUUAAUACCCGGUUGUUCUGACGGUACCGGAAGAAUAAGCACCGGCUCACUUCGUGCCAGCAGCCGCGGUAAUACGAAGGGUGCAAGCGUUACUCGGAAUUACUGGGCGUGGAGCGUUAAUACGGGUUUGAAAGCCCUGGGCGCAACCUGGGAAUGGCAUUGGAGACUGGCGGGCUCGAGUGCGGUAGAGGGUAGUGGAAUUCCCGGUGUAGCAGUGAAAUGCGUAGAGAUCGGGAGGAACAUCUGUGGCGAAGGCGACUGCCUGGACCAGCACUGACACUGAGGCACGAAAGCGUGGGGAGCAAACAGGAUUAGAUACCCCUGUAGUC